rnacentral:rRNA from 1 species
AUUGAACGCUAGCGGGAUGCUUACACAUUCAAGUCGAACGAGUGGCGGACGGGUGAGUAAUAUAUCGGAACCUGCCCAGUAGCGGGGGAUAACUACUCGAACCAGUGCUAUACCGCAUACUAUCAGCUGUGCCCAUAUGGGAUUAGCUAGUUGGUGGGGUAAAGGCUCACCAAGGCAACGAUCCGUAGCUGGUUUGAGAGGACGACCAGCCACACGGGGACUGAGACACGGCCCAGACUCCGACGGGAGGCAGCAGUGGGGAAUUUUGGACAAUGGGGGAAACCCUGAUGCAGCCAUCCCGCGUGUAUGAUGAAGGCUUCGGGUUGUAAAGUACUUUUGGCAGAGAAGCGGUAUCUGCAGAAUAAGCACCGGCUAACUACGUGCCAGCAGCCGCGGUAAUUC